GAUGAACGCUGGCGGCGUGCCUAAUACAUGCAAGUCGAGCGAACGGACGAGAAGCUUGCUUCUCUGAUGUUAGCGGCGGACGGGUGAGUAACACGUGGAUAACCUACCUAUAAGACUGGGAUAACUUCGGGAAACCGGAGCUAAUACCGGAUAAUAUUUUGAACCGCAUGGUUCAAAAGUGAAAGACGGUCUUGCUGUCACUUAUAGAUGGAUCCGCGCUGCAUUAGCUAGUUGGUAAGGUAACGGCUUACCAAGGCAACGAUGCAUAGCCGACCUGAGAGGGUGAUCGGCCACACUGGAACUGAGACACGGUCCAGACUCCUACGGGAGGCAGCAGUAGGGAAUCUUCCGCAAUGGGCGAAAGCCUGACGGAGCAACGCCGCGUGAGUGAUGGAGGUCUUCGGAUCGUAAAACUCUGUUAUUAGGGAAGAACAUAUGUGUAAGUAACUGUGCACAUCUUGACGGUACCUAAUCAGAAAGCCACGGCUAACUACGUG
rnacentral:rRNA from 1 species